UGAGCAAAGUUUCAAGUGUA
rnacentral:miRNA from 1 species